rnacentral:snRNA from 1 species
AUACUUACCUGGACGGGGUCAAUGGAUGAUCAAAAAGGUCCAUGGCCUAGGUUAGUGACCUCCAUUGCACUUUGGAGGGGUGCUCGCCUAAGAUCUCCCCAAUGAGGGAGAGUCUACGUCAUAAUUUGUGUUAGCGGGGGUACGCGUCCGCGCGGCCCCUGA